rnacentral:rRNA from 1 species
AUUGAACGCUGGCGGCAGGCCUAACACAUGCAAGUCGAGCGAGCGGCGGACGGGUGAGUAAUGUAUGGGGACUGCCCGAUAGAGGGGGAUAACUACUGGAAACGGUAGCUAAUACCGCAUACUAUCGGAUAACCCAUAUGGGAUUAGCUAGUAGGUGAGGUAAUGGCUCACCUAGGCGACGAUCCCUAGCUGGGCUGAGAGGAUGAUCAGCCACACGGUGACUGAGACACGGCCCAGGCUCCUACGGAGGCAGCAGGGGGGAAUAUUGCACAAUGGGCGCAAGCGUGUUGCAGCCAUGCCGCUUGUAUGAAGAAGGCCCUAGGGUUGGAAAGUACUUGCAGUCGGGAGGCGUGACCGACAGAAGAAGCACCGGCUAAUUCCGUGCAAGCAGCCGCGGUAAUA